GAAGAGCUGUAGCUCAGAGGCAGAGCACCCGCUUUGCAUGCAGGAGGUCGCAGGUUCAAUCCUUGGUGUCCUCCCA